AAACAAUCACAUUUCACAAAGUGCUGGUUGAGGAAUUUCUAAAGAACUUUAAGAAACUCUUGAAAUUAUGAAAAAAUUGUACUUUGAUUCUACAGAAAUCUCAAUCAUGGUGUCUAUUUUAUUCAUUUUUUAGAGUUACAAUGACUGAAUUUCUAGAAGAACAACUACUUAGAUUAGGGGGGCAAGUGGAUUAUCCUUCCAAUUAUUUUUAAGUUAACUGUGACUAAUAUCAGGGAAAAAAGAAGCAGUCUGGAAAUGCUGAAAGAAGUAAGGUUUUCAAUGAAAGUUUUGGUGCAGAUUUUUUAUAAUUAUUGGCUUCUGGAGCUUGCGACUGUCUUGAAUCUUAGCGUCCCUUC
rnacentral:lncRNA from 1 species